AUGAAGUCGGAAUCGCUAGUAAUCGUGAAUCAGAAUGUCACGGUGAAUACGUUCCCGGGCCUUGUACACACCGCCCGUCACACCAUGGGAGUGGGUUGCACCAGAAGUAGAUAGCUUAACCGCAAGGAGGGCGUUUACCACGGUGUGGUCCAUGACUGGGGUGAAGUCGUAACAAGGUAACCGUAGGGGAACCUGCGGUUGGAUCACCUCCUUACGAAG
rnacentral:rRNA from 1 species